rnacentral:rRNA from 1 species
CCUACGGGAGGCAGCAGUGAGGAAUAUUGGUCAAUGGACGCGAGCCUGAACCAGCCAAGUAGCGUGAAGGAUGACUGCCCUACGGGUUGUAAACUGCUUUUAUAAAGGAAUAAAGUGAGGCACGUGUGCCUUUUUGUAUGUACUUUAUGAAUAAGGAUCGGCUAACUCCGUGCCAGCAGCCGCGGUAAUACGGAGGAUCCGAGCGUUAUCCGGAUUUAUUGGGUUUAAAGGGAGCGUAGAUGGCUUGUUAAGCGAGGUGUGAAAGUUUGCGGCUCAACCGUAAAAUUGCAAUUGAUACUGGCAGGCUUGAGUACAGUUGAGGUAGGCGGAAUUCGUGGUGUAGCGGUGAAAUGCUUAGAUAUCACGAAGAACCCCGAUUGCGAAGGCAGCUUACUAAACUGUGACUGACAUUGAUGCUCGAAGGUGUGGGUAUCAAACAGGAUUAGAUACCCGAGUAGUC